rnacentral:piRNA from 1 species
UACAUGAUGUCACUUGAAUCUACACACAGA